GACGAACGCUGGCGGCGUGCUUAACACAUGCAAGUCGAACGAGGAGCGAUGGAAGCUUGCUUCUAUCACUCUUAGUGGCGAACGGGUGAGUAACGCGUAAUCAACCUGCCCUUCAGAGGGGGACAACAGUUGGAAACGACUGCUAAUACCGCAUACGAUCUAAUCUCGGCAUCGAGGAUAGAUGAAAGGUGGCCUCUACAUGUAAGCUAUCACUGAAGGAGGGGAUUGCGUCUGAUUAGCUAGUUGGAGGGGUAACGGCCCACCAAGGCGAUGAUCAGUAGCCGGUCUGAGAGGAUGAACGGCCACAUUGGGACUGAGACACGGCCCAGACUCCUACGGGAGGCAGCAGUGGGGAAUCUUCCGCAAUGGACGAAAGUCUGACGGAGCAACGCCGCGUGAGUGAUGACGGCCUUCGGGUUGUAAAGCUCUGUUAAUCGGGACGAAAGGCCUUCUUGCGAAUAGUGAGAAGGAUUGACGGUACCGGAAUAGAAAGCCACGGCUAACUACGUG
rnacentral:rRNA from 1 species